rnacentral:rRNA from 1 species
GAUGAACGCUGGCGGCGUGCCUAAUACAUGCAAGUCGAACGUUGGAAAUCUAGCUUGCUAGAUUGAAGGAGUGGCGAACGGGUGAGUAAUACAUAAGCAACCUACCCACGAAGACUGGGAUAAUCUCUGGAAACGGGGACUAAUACCGGAUAGGUAAUCGGAAGGCAUCUUCUGAUUAUUAAAGGUUAAAAACACUGGUGGAUGGGCUUAUGGCGCAUUAGUUAGUUGGUGAGGUAACGGCCCACCAAGACGAUGAUGCGUAGCCGGCCUGAGAGGGUGAACGGCCACAUUGGGACUGAGACACGGCCCAGACUCCUACGGGAGGCAGCAGUAGGGAAUUUUCAGCAAUGGGGGAAACCCUGACCGAGCAACGCCGCGUGAGUGAUGACGGCCUUCGGGUUGUAAAGCUCUGUUGUAAGGGAAGAACGGUAGAUAGAGAAUAUCUAAAUGACGGUACCUUACCAGAAAGCCACGGCUAACUACGUG